rnacentral:rRNA from 1 species
GAUGAACGCUGGCGGCGUGCCUAAUACAUGCAAGUCGAGCGAACAGACGAGGAGCUUGCUCCUCUGACGUUAGCGGCGGACGGGUGAGUAACACGUGGAUAACCUACCUAUAAGACUGGGAUAACUUCGGGAAACCGGAGCUAAUACCGGAUAAUAUAUUGAACCGCAUGGUUCAAUAGUGAAAGACGGUUUUGCUGUCACUUAUAGAUGGAUCCGCGCCGCAUUAGCUAGUUGGUAAGGUAACGGCUUACCAAGGCAACGAUGCGUAGCCGACCUGAGAGGGUGAUCGGCCACACGGGAACUGAGACACGGUCCAGACUCCUACGGGAGGCAGCAGGAGGGAAUCUUCCGCAAUGGGCGAAAGCCUGACGGAGCAACGCCGCGUGAGUGAUGAAGGUCUUCGGAUCGUAAAACUCUGUUAUUAGGGAAGAACAAAUGUGUAAGUAACUAUGCACGUCUUGACGGUACCUAAUCAGAAAGCCACGGCUAACUACGU